AAUUAGUAGCAAGUUGGAAAUCCAUAUUUUGAUGAGCUUUUUAGACGUUCCCAACGUUUUUAUCCAUGUUUUCCAUUGCAUGUGACCCAUGCACUUAAAGUAGCACUUCAUCCAGCUGGCAUAAGACCUGGAAUUGGGCUCUUGGUAUAAACUAAAGCAAAAAGAAAAUGUGACCUUUUUCAAAAGGACAAAAUAUAUAUUUGAAAGUACUGAAUUAGAGUAAGGGCUCAAUUCAAUCAAAUACUACCACUACUACUACUACUACCAGUAAUACUACUACUACUACUACUACCACCAGUAAUAAUACUACUACUNNNNNNNNNNGGAGAAGAGGGGGUGCUCAUAUAAACAAGCAUGAAAGGGGGCCCCUCUACUCAGCCCAGCGAGGUCGAGAUGCGCUUCAGUGGGCCAAGCUUUUGUUGUCACUCCAGUUCACAAACCUUUUAGCCAGAGAAAGGGGGCUGAUUCUCUCGGUGUGUGCAGGCCCAAAUGAUGCCAUAAAAUGUGUGCCUGCCUGGGUGAAAAGCGCUUCAGCAGUGCUUUCAAGUGAUUUAGAGGGGUAUGAGAGAGAGAGAGAGAGAGAGAGAGAGAGAAAAUGGGAUAAGAGAGAGAUGUGAGAAAGAGAGAGAGAGCAAGACAGAAGGGGAUAGAGAGAGAUAAAGUGAGAAAGAGAGAGAGAGUGAGGGAGAGAGGGAGGAGGAGAGAGAUUUAAAUGUGAUUCCAGAGAACACAGGAGGAACCAGAGAUGACAGGGUGAAUAAUACCAAGGCAGUGAUCGUCUCUCUAUAGUAUGUAUUUAAAAAGCUGCUCUCCCACUCCAAGAGUGCUGAUGGUUGAAAAACAACAACAACAGGGAAGGAAUAAAAUACGUUUUCACGUGUUCAGGGUUCUGGGUCAAUUUGGUUUAGUGAUAUUUUACUGUCAGGCCUUGGUAAAAAAAACAGCACUCUGUCCUGUCAGGCCUCAGUCAUAUAAACAGCACUCUGUCCUGUCAGGCCUUGGUCAUAUAAACAGCACUCUGUCCUGUCAGGCCUUGGUCAGAUAAACAGCACUCUGUCCUGUCUUUACUGUCAGGCCUUGGUCAGAUAAACAGCACUCUGUCCUGUCAGGCCUUGGUCAGAUAAACAGCACUCUGUCCUGUCAGGCCUCGGUCAGAUAAACAGCACUCUGUCCUGUCAGGCCUCGGUCAGAUAAACAGCACUCUUCAUGGUAUAAGGUGAGUUUCUGCUUCCGAAGAGGCUGACCUCACCUCAAUUCAAGUUCUCACGCAAGGAUGAGCAAGCAGAAAAAACACAACUUCCUCUUCAGGGUGACGAGGCAUAAGAUACACCAAUCACGUAGCAGCACAACAGGAAAGAACAAAGCAGCCAUUUAAGACCGAAAAUUAAUCUUGGUACUAAGAAAUGCUAUUUCCUCAUGGGAAUUCCAGUAAAACAUUGCAGAACCUGUCAACCUGUGACCAAUCACAAUCGGAAAACAUCCCUGUUAUGGGAAAAAAUGGACAUUAAGAUUCUGUGCAACAACUAUCACAACUGACAUGCAUAGAUAGCCUAGCUCCUUAACACGUUACAAAAUGCCAGAACCCGUGUGAGCUGUUUGACAGGCAAGGCCCUGUGAGUGUGAGCCUUGCUACAUGCUCCAGAAUAAGCACGUCAGCGAAGUGAGUAGGCAAUAAUUCCGCAAUAACACAAUGCCAGUGUAUGGAAUUGUGCAGGGCCAUACCAUCAUUGAGUCAUCUCGUCAAUGGGAACCUAAUAAGCAUGAGAACCUGACAAUGUCAACAAAGAGAUGCUGCCAAAACAGGCUCAGUCCGGUUCCCUCCAAAUCACAUCACUAAUGCUAUGUCCCAAAUGGCACCCUAUUCCCUAUAUAGUGCACUAAUUUUGACCAGAGCUAUAUGGAACCUGGUCUAAAGUAGUGCACUAUAUAUACAACAUGGUGCCAUAGAGAAUGCAGUAACAGUCUCAGCCAUCAGGAAGACAUUCCAGUUAUUUUUCCUUUACUAUUUCUGUUCUAUAGGCCUGCUGCCCACCGUCUCUCUCACUCUCAGAUUACAUUGUCAAUGUGUCUGCUUUCUUUUGAUUGGCUGUUUGAUCAAAUUUGGUUUUGAAAUAUAUAUAUUUUUAAGUAUCUGAGUGAGCAAGGUUGUCUAUUAGUGAGGUUGUCGAUUAGUGAGGUUGUCUCUCAGUGAGGUUGUCUCUCAUUGAGGUUGUCUCUUAUUGAGGUAGUCUCUUAUUGAGGUUGUCUAUUAGUGAGGGUGUCUAUUAGUGAGGUUGUCUAUUAGUGAAGUUGUCUAUUAGUGAGGGUGUCUAUUAGUGAGGUUGUCUAUUAGUGAGGUUGUCGAUUAGUGAGGUUGUCUCUCAGUGAGGUUGUCUCUCAUUGAGGUUGUCUCUUAUUGAGGUAGUCUCUUAUUGAGGUUGUCUAUUAUCAAAGUUUUAUCUUUGUGAGAUUGUCUCUUAGUGAAGUUGUCUAUUAGUGAAGUUGUCUAUUAGUGAAGUUGUCUAUUAGUGAGGGUGUCUAUUAGUGAAGUUGUCUAUUAGUGNNNNNNNNNNAGGAUGGUCUCUUUAACAAGCUGAUAAUACCGGUUCGUUCCAACGUUUCUUUCAACAAAGUAAGUCAUGAUAUUUUGUAUAUUAUUAGUUAUGUGACUUUUAACCCAAACUAUAAGUU
rnacentral:lncRNA from 13 species